rnacentral:lncRNA from 1 species
AUUGGUCCAGAUCCUGCGCGCGGGCGCGCAAUCUGCUCCAGGCUCCGGGGAAACUUUGGGGCUGCUGGUUGGCAACAGUGGACUAAUGUCCUCAUCACGAAGGCUGCCGGCUGCAAGAGGAGAAGGGACCUCAACUCCAGAUGGCACCUCCUGCUAGCCCAAGGGCCAAGAGAUCCAAUUCCUCCAGUUUUAUUUCCAGCUUUGACCAAGCCAUGCAGGAUGUGGCAUUCUCUCCAACAUACAAGGUUUCAGUAAGAUGGUCUUUAAUAGCCCUGCUGCCUCAGAGUGCGGAAAGCAAACUAUCAUUGCCAGCAUUUAGUUAUAUACUGAUGAGUCCAACGAACCUCUGAACUAAAGUUGUCUGUGGCACUGAGAAGUAACUAAGAAGGCACUGACAGAAGGACCUGACUUGUGGACCUUGGUAGCUUUCCAUGAGAGUGGGCGUUAUCAUACAUGUUUCUCAAUGAUGGUUUCUGUAGAAUCUGGCCUUCAAAGGCUAAAGAUUUUUCUUCACUAAAUCUAUGGAACAAAAUUCUCUUACUCAACUGCAGAAGCUUCAUAACAUUCUGUUUAUGUCUAAGUCUGGUCUUUGAAAACUGAAAAUCAAACAUUCUCUAUUUUGUUUUUAUUUGCAUUUAUUUGUCUGUGCCAUGUGUCCACUGAAGUAAGUCAUACAAUGUACAAGAAUAAAAAGAAAUAUAAACCAAAAGAAGAAAUGACAUAAGAUGCUAUCUAACAUGUUUGUGUCCUGAUUGUUACAUAGAUAUUUGUGUCUCCUUUACUUUUGGUAUUGUCUUCAAAAGCUACAAUAAGUAUUAUUGCUCAUAAAGCUUACGAUUUAUGUUUGAAUAUGACAAUAAAAACUUUAUCAUGGGAAUUCCUGGGACAAAAAGCAUGUACUCAAUGUUGAUGGAUGUCAUCACCUUCCCCUCUACAACAAUUAAACUGACUCCCAUCUUCCAUAGCG